CUAAAGUCAGUAAUUUGGCUAUCCAAAACACAACCCAAUUUAACCUAAAUAAGCUCAUACGUUUUAGCCAAGUUCCCUAAACAUAACUCGAAUAUUCAGCCCUUAUUCAAUGACAAAUCUGUCUAAAAAUAGACCCAAAUGCAGUAGCCCAACUACCCGAUGAACACACCCAUUUCACUUAUCUUCCUCUUCCAUUUUUGUGUGUAAACUCAGUUUGUCAACAAUGGAUUCAAUCAGCGCAUGAGGCCAAGACACUUUUAAGAGUUCUGAUUUUCUCCACCAAAAAACAGAUUUAGACAGUAUUUUAUUCAAAUUUCGAAUUGAUCUUCUCGGUUUUAAAAAAUCAAGCUUCUCAAAUCUCUAACUCGAACUCUAACAUUCUUCUCCUAUAAAUAUAACCUUAUCUCUUCUUCAAAGGACAUGUUCGAAUACACACAAGAAGCACCACAGAAAUCUUAACUCUCUGCAUCUUUUAUAUUUUUAUUCUGUCUCUGUUGACUUGCGGCCAGAACAGAGACAUUCGAACUUUUUUUGGUUCCAAAUCUGCUCUUAAGGGAGUAGAUUUGAGGCCGCCGCCCCUGCUCCUUAAAAAACCAUUAUUCACUCAUUUUACAAACUACUUUAGAGUAUCUUCUGCCUUGCAUUUUUUUUGUUUGAUUCUUAACCGGCCAAAGAAGUAGAUUUGAGUGGUCAAGUUCGACGCCCCAGUUCGCUGCCCUGAAAUAGGAUCGGAGACACAAGUUUGUGGUUCGGGGAAGUAGUAGAUCUUUUCGGGACAACAGUUAGCAUUGUGGUUGGUCGAUACUCUCGGACCUAAUGGGGUUUCAAGUGCCAUGUCAUGUCUAGGGUGGAAUCUCGAGGCAUGACAGAAGAAGAGACUGCAACUUUAAUUUUUUUCAGAACUGUUUCAGCCAGAGAUCAUGGUAUCAGCAAGAAUAGGACUCCCAUAUUCUUAAAAGACAUGUUCCAAAUACCAGUAUUUCCUCCACUUAAAAUUGAGAAAAAAGAAUAAAAAAAGUUUGGCACAGAUGAUGGGCAAGCAAAAGUUUAAAUUCUAAUGAAAAUUGGAUUGAAUUGGGUCAUUUAAUUAGAUUAAAAACAUUAUGUGCACCAAUGAAAAUCGACCACUUGUUUAGUUAAAUUACACAUCAGAUAUCUCUCAACUAAAGGACAUUUGAACCUAAAGAAAACAUUAAAGGAAUUUUUAAAUCAAUAGGUGGAAGAAAAUAUUUUUGAACCAUUUCUAUAAGGUGAAGAACAUUUUUGAGCCUUUUUUCGUAUUUUCUAUUAAGUCACUACA